AUGGAGGAUUGGGUUAUGAAUAGAGGCACUACCCAUUCAUUUCCCCAAGUCUUGGCUCAUUUCUCCCAUUCCUCCCCUCGCUUGCAUGCCCUCACUCUCUCGGUUACUCUUUCUCUUCCUCGGCCACUUUCAUCCUUGUCACUCGCUCGUGCCGGCUAUGGCCACCGCUUGAGCAAUUUAUUUCUAGGUAUGGAAGUCUCACCCCUUUAAACCGGAGGCCAUGCUAGAGGAGAUAGAAAUCCCCUAGUCUACAAUUGAUAGAAGAUUAAUGUAAAUAAGGAAAUGCACAUGGAAAAUGGCUUGUAAUUGUACUGAUGUAAUAUAGUAUGCUUUGUGUAGUGUUUUCCCGACUGCUCAAUUAUUUUAUUGUCUAGGAGAUGGUUGUUGUA